UUUCCGGUUGAUCCUGCCGGACCUGACUGCUAUCGGAUUGAUACUAAGCCAUGCGAGUCUUUGCAGUAAUGCAAGGCAUACGGCUCAGUAACACGUAGUCAACUUACCCUAUGGACGAGGAUAAUCUCGGGAAACUGAGCAUAAUACUCGAUGGAUCAUAAUGCCUGGAAUGGUUUAUGGUUGAAAUGAUUCGUCGCCAUAGGAUGGGACUGCGGCCUAUCAGCUUGUUGGUGAGGUAAUGGCCCACCAAGGCGAUUACAGGUACGGGCUCUGAGAGGAGAAGCCCGGAGAUGGGUACUGAGACAAGGACCCAGGCCCUAUGGGGCGCAGCAGGCGAGAAAACUUUGCAAUGUGCGAAAGCACGACAAGGUUAAUCCGAGUGAUUUCUGCUAAAGAAAUCUUUUGCAAGUCAUAAAACCACUAGUGAAUAAGGGGUGGGCAAGUUCUGGUGUCAGCCGCCGCGGUAAAACCAGCACCUCAAGUGGUCAGGAGGAUUAUUGGGCCUAAAGCAUCCGUAGCCGGCUCUGUGAGUUUUCGGUUAAAUCCAUGUGCUCAACGCAUGGGCUGCCGAAAAUACAGCAUAGCUAGGGAGUGGGAGAGGUAGACGGUACUCGGUAGG
rnacentral:rRNA from 1 species